CAAUAGCGUAUAUUAAUGUUGUUGCAGUUAAAAAGCUCGUAGUUGGAUUUCUGAUGGGAGCCCUGGUCACUUUAACGAGUGUACUGAUGUGGCGUCCUGUCGUUUCAUGGGGAUGCUUGCUGGUAUUAAGUUAUCGGCUUGUGGAUCCAUGUCGUUUACUGUGAAAAAAUUAGAGUGUUCAAAGCAGGCAUCGCUGUGAAUACAUUAGCAUGGAAUAAUAAGAUAGGACUGUGGUGCUAUUUUGUUGGUUUGCGUACUACGGUAAUGAUUAAUAGGGAUAGUUGGGGGUAUUCAUAUUCAAUUGUCAGAGGUGAAAUUCUUGGAUUUAUGGAAGAUGAACUACUGCGAAAGCAUUUACCAAGGAUGUUUUCAUUA
rnacentral:rRNA from 1 species